GGGGCAGAAGGAGGAGCUAUGGGGCUGUGGGGCACAAGAAGGAUCUAUGGGGCACAAGGAGGAGCUAUGGGGCUUGAAGGGAUGCUAUGGGGCACAAAGAGGAGCUAUGGGGCACAAGGAUCUAUGGGGCACAAGACGAGCUAUGGGGCACAGAGGGAUGUUGUGGGGUGCAAGGAGGAGCUAUGGGGCAGAAAGGGAUGGUAUGGGGCACAAGGGGGACCUAUGGGGCACAGAGCAGAGCUAUGGGGCACAGAGCAGAGCUAUGGGGCAGCCGUGGGGUGACACCAUCUCUCCCCCCACCCCCUCAGAUCUGACCGCGGUCUGUCACGGAAACAAGUGCUGGAAGGGCUGCGCGGCGCCCUGCAGCGGCUGCAGAUGGAUUACGUCGAUGUGGUUUUCAUUGGGCCCCGGCCUGGCCCCGCCCACACCGAGGGGCCCGACCCGACCCUGCGCCUCCUGCGGCUCGAAGGUACUGGGGGCCGCAGCCCCGUGUAGCCCCAUAGCCGCCCCAUAGCUGCC